rnacentral:lncRNA from 1 species
GUUUUACUUCCCAGGAAGAAGUGAAGCCCCAUGGAGCAUGAGGGGGCAGCCAAGGGGCUGGGCAUCACAGAAGCCCUGACAUUUGCUGGGCUCCUACCCUGUGUCACAUAUUAUAUCAAGAACUUUAGGAGCUAAGAUAUUCUCUCACGAUGGAAGAGGUUAGUCCCAGUCCCGUUUGCCUGUGGACAUCUUGCAUCAUCCUCUGAACAAUCUUUCCCUUCCUUCCUCUUCUUUCCAGUUCUCGUCCCACCCUCUUCCCUCUCUUCUUUUCUUUUUUUUUUUCUCCCCUCAAGCCCAAGACUUUCCUGUCAUGCCAGGCAAUGAUUCAGCCACUUCAGUUCUGGGUGGAUGGAUAGGCAGGGCUUAAAGCAGGCAACCCUCAUGCUGUCAAAGCCAAAAAGUAGAGGAAUUAUAAAAGGCAAGGCAGGAGUGUCCCUUCUGAAGUAAAAGCCAGAGGACAAGAUGGACUGGGAAACACUGCAAAGACAUUGCUCCUCGGCCUUUGGUGACAUUCCUCCAAGGUCCCCUCUCACAGGUGUGUUAUGAGACAUACCUCAGGCAUGAGUGGACGCAUCAACAAAAGGAAUAGCUAAACACAGCCUGAAAUAGGAUGCCUUCAAACAUGAGACUAAUUAUUAAAAGAAUUUCAAUUUUGUCUUUACCAAGACAUGAGUUCCUUAUGUACUGCAUGCUGUCUUCUGCUUUUUAUUUGAAGAAAUGUGGCAUUUGGGAAGCAGCAGAUGUCCCCCCUGUGGAAUCAAUGUGAAAUGAUAUUUUUGUAACAUCAUUAAAAAGUCUAUCAAAAUGGGAAAUU